rnacentral:lncRNA from 1 species
ACAAUUUUGUUGUUCUCUUGAUUCUUCUCUCCUAAGUUUUUUCGUGAUUGUAGGGCCUUUGCAGUGUGAUUCUCGAAUGUAGGAUGAUUUGAGCCUCCUAGAAAUGUGUUUAGAAAUGUGUUUGGAUCUCCGGAAGUUGUCUGACAGCACUUCAAUUCGUCUUGUCGAGUUGAUCUCCGGGCAGAACUCCGUUAGUCAAUUUGUUGUUGUGUAGUCAAUGCAGAAGUUUCCUCCAAUGCUUGCAGAAUGCCCUCCUUUUUUUCUUUCUUUCCCUUAGAAUGUUAUGUUACCCCCUAUUUAUAGUUGUGGGGUAGGCCUAGUUGCUUGUGAUCGGACGAAACAUGUCAUUUUGACACUUG